UCCCUGGUGGUCCAGUGGUUAAGACGCUGCUUGCAACGCAGGGAAUGUGGGUUCAAUCCCUGGCUGGGGAA
rnacentral:tRNA from 1 species